UACGGAGGGUGCAAACGUUGCUCGGAAUCAUUGGGCGUAAAGCGCACGUAGGCGGCCUGCUAAGUCGGGUGUGAAAGCCCUGGGCUCAACCCAGGAAGUGCACUCGAAACUGUCAGGCUUGAAUAUGGAAGAGGGUCGCGGAAUUCCCGGUGUAGAGGUGAAAUUCGUAGAUAUCGGGAGGAACACCAGUGGCGAAGGCGGCGACCUGGGCCAAUAUUGACGCUGAGGUGCGAAAGCGUGGGGAGCAAACAGG
rnacentral:rRNA from 1 species